rnacentral:lncRNA from 1 species
CUCUCUAGUUCUAUAACUUCAGUUAAUCUCAUAUGACCAAUUAAGGUUGUAUUUUUCGCCUUGGGGCCUGAACUAGUAAGUGAAAUAGAUGAUAGCUCAUGGCUGGUACAAAAAAAAUUCUUGGGCUGUGUCAAAGCUGAGGAAAUGUUGAAGAGUAGUGUUAUUUCAUUAUCAGCUCGCUCUUUUAUGCAGUAGGCCAGGAGAAUUCUCAUGACUUGCAUUCUUUUGCUUCUGAAUAUGAAUUUGUCCCAAUUUGGCCGUACAUCCAUUUGAUGGGAAAUGCAUGCAUCUAGGGAUGUCAACGGGUC